rnacentral:rRNA from 1 species
UACGUAGGGUGCGAGCGUUAAUCGGAAUUACUGGGCGUAAAGCGUGCGCAGGCGGUUGAUGUAAGACAGAUGUGAAAUCCCCGGGCUCAACCUGGGAACUGCAUUUGUGACUGCAUCGCUGGAGUGCGGCAGAGGGGGAUGGAAUUCCGGCGUGUAGCAGUGAAAUGCGUAGAUAUGCGGAGGAACACCGAUGGCGAAGGCAAUCCCCUGGGCCUGCACUGACGCUCAUGCACGAAAGCGUGGGGAGCAAACAGG